UUACCCGAGUCGAAGGGCUUGCCUCCUCGGGAAAAGAUGUCAUGGGUGUGCCCCGUAUCUCGAAUAGCUGGUCCGCGAUGUUGCUCGGUGAACCCCCUCGGACCUCUUCGGUGACGUUGUCGUAGGACGACACCGAGAAUGAGCUCACUUCAACCAUUGUGUCCUGUUUCUGAAUAUGCAGAUACGUAUUACGACAAGUACAUCGGGCAGCUUAGACCAAAUUCUUCCCCUGCAGUAGCGAAAGUCCUUGAGUCCAUUCCUGGAGUAAAAGUAAUAUACAGAACCAAAGAGCUAGAGGAGCAACAGUCUAAGAGGACCCUAUAAACUCAAUGGCAAUACAAUGUGAUACAAAGCUGCAGCAGCUUUUUGGAUGUGAAAGCAUUUCUGCGCUGGGUGUACCAGAAAUGUUGGCACGCCAUCAUCUGUCCAAGAGAUCUUGACAAUUAAUGAUAUUAUUGGUUAGUGUAGUUUACCAAUUGCUUGCUAUGCACAAAUUUUUUGAUUGGUUAAUUAGUAUUAGCAUUUCUUAUUGAUUAAAUUUUGUAAUAUACUCUUUUACUGAGAAGAUCCAAUUAUCUUGCAAUCGAUUUGUCAUUAAGUAAAACUGUGAAAGGAGUAAUUGAAUGAAAGUGCUUAGAACACUUUUUGUCCAA